rnacentral:rRNA from 1 species
GGGUUGUGAGGUUAAGCGACUAAGCGUACACGGUGGAUGCCCUGGCAGUCAGAGGCGAUGAAGGACGUGCUAAUCUGCGAUAAGCGUCGGUAAGGUGAUAUGAACCGUUAUAACCGGCGAUUUCCGAAUGGGGAAACCCAGUGUGAUUCGUCACACUAUCAUUAACUGAAUCCAUAGGUUAAUGAGGCGAACCGGGGGAACUGAAACAUCUAAGUACCCCGAGGAAAAGAAAUCAACCGAGAUUCCCCCAGUAGCGGCGAGCGAACGGGGAGGAGCCCAGAGCCUGAAUCAGUGUGUGUGUUAGUGGAAGCGUCUGGAAAGGCGCGCGAUACAGGGUGACAGCCCCGUACACAAAAAUGCACAUGCUGUGAGCUCGAUGAGUAGGGCGGGACACGUGGUAUCCUGUCUGAAUAUGGGGGGACCAUCCUCCAAGGCUAAAUACUCCUGACUGACCGAUAGUGAACCAGUACCGUGAGGGAAAGGCGAAAAGAACCCCGGCGAGGGGAGUGAAAAAGAACCUGAAACCGUGUACGUACAAGCAGUGGGAGCCUCUUUUAUGGGGUGACUGCGUACCUUUUGUAUAAUGGGUCAGCGACUUAUAUUCUGUAGCAAGGUUAACCGAAUAGGGGAGCCGAAGGGAAACCGAGUCUUAACCGGGCGUUAAGUUGCAGGGUAUAGACCCGAAACCCGGUGAUCUAGCCAUGGGCAGGUUGAAGGUUGGGUAACACUAACUGGAGGACCGAACCGACUAAUGUUGAAAAAUUAGCGGAUGACUUGUGGCUGGGGGUGAAAGGCCAAUCAAACCGGGAGAUAGCUGGUUCUCCCCGAAAGCUAUUUAGGUAGCGCCUCGUGAAUUCAUCUCCGGGGGUAGAGCACUGUUUCGGCAAGGGGGUCAUCCCGACUUACCAACCCGAUGCAAACUGCGAAUACCGGAGAAUGUUAUCACGGGAGACACACGGCGGGUGCUAACGUCCGUCGUGAAGAGGGAAACAACCCAGACCGCCAGCUAAGGUCCCAAAGUCAUGGUUAAGUGGGAAACGAUGUGGGAAGGCCCAGACAGCCAGGAUGUUGGCUUAGAAGCAGCCAUCAUUUAAAGAAAGCGUAAUAGCUCACUGGUCGAGUCGGCCUGCGCGGAAGAUGUAACGGGGCUAAACCAUGCACCGAAGCUGCGGCAGCGACACUGUGUGUUGUUGGGUAGGGGAGCGUUCUGUAAGCCUGUGAAGGUGUACUGUGAGGUAUGCUGGAGGUAUCAGAAGUGCGAAUGCUGACAUAAGUAACGAUAAAGCGGGUGAAAAGCCCGCUCGCCGGAAGACCAAGGGUUCCUGUCCAACGUUAAUCGGGGCAGGGUGAGUCGACCCCUAAGG